AGCCCGUAAGAGGAGACUAGAGGUGUGUAACAGCUCCCAGGAGAGUGGGGCAUCCAACUCCAGCAAGAAACCAGCCCUCCAGGAAGAUUUAGUGGUGAGUCCACUAGGGCCAGGACAAUACCAGUAUCGCAAUACUGUUGGUAUCGAGGCAAGGAAACAAAACACAAAGCAGAUUUAACUUCUUUAGGAAAACAGCCCUAAUGCUGGAAACACACAUCAUGUUGUAAUCCAGUGGCACAUUUGUGCGUUGGAAAAAAUAUUACAAUACUGGUAUCAUCCCGGUCCUAGAGUCCACAUGACUGCAGUCCAAUACCUCCUUCAGCCUCCAUGACACCCCCAAACCAGGGUGGGAGUGCAUACUCAGUUUACACCUGAUGUGUGAGUCAUCUGUGUUGAGCUAGAGAUUUACUGAAGUAAUCUGGCUAAAGUGCCGCGCUCAAGUGCACAAGAGCCCUGUGCCCCACCUGGAGUUUUGACCUUGAGGUUAGUGGUUUAUUUCCCUGACCAAGAUGAUAUACUGCCAUCUUGCUUGUUCAUUUGUUAUUUGUCAUCUCCAGUACAGAGGGGUAGGCUUGCGUGGGGAGGAGCUCACACUCUAAUUGGCCUGUCUGCCUUCGGAAUUCACGCGCCAGUGUGUUUUUGUCCAACCAAACAGAUGUUUCUGAGGACGAGGGUCCAGAGCCCAGCUGGAAGAGCUGCAGACUAAGUUCCCCAUUCUACAGACUAAGGCUGUAGAAUCCCUCUCUACAGUGCCUGUGUUCUCUGUCACUGCAGUUCCACAAAACAUUCAUCAAUAUCCUAAAUGUUGGCAAAUGUGAACCAAAAUUGUUUGAAAUGUGGGAGCUGCAUAUGAAUAAUUAUUUUGACAAAAAAUGUGUGCUUUUGGUUUACAACGGUGUCUAUUUGUCUUAUCUUGCAUGCACACAAGAGCUUAGAGAACCACUUCUGGAGCAUGGUGGACAUUUUGAGGAAAUCCUAUAAGCACUGUGCAAGUUUUCAGAGGAGGGUGAGAGUUUUGUGUUUCAUGGUGCAUGUGUAUGUGUCUGUUAUGUGUGCCUGUUUAUACAAAACAAAAACAUGUACAUUAUUUUAGGUAACUAGUUAAAUCCUUCGCUGUCUUGUAGCCCUAUAGUUUCAUGUGUUAAAAGAAUAGCAUCAAUUGGAUUUAUUUGAGAAAAAAGUAUUUGAGGCAAUAGGUAGCCCAAAUUCCCUCCCAGGUCCUGUAGGCGGAUUAUUUUUCCUUCCUUAGAGAGGUCCAGUCAAGAGGACACCCAGGCAUCAUCAUCAGCUAGUUUCCCCCCCCUAAACCUCAGCAUGCCAGGCAGCCCAAGCAGCCAAACUCCCUGGUCAUCCCCCAUCACUACCUCACAAGCCUACCAAUGGGAGCAUAAUUAAGACCUUCAAUAGGCUGCCAGAAGGAGCAGACAAAAGGAGGAAGAUGAUUCCAGAUCCAGGCACCAGCUCUGAGGACGAGGCCAGUGAUGACUUUGAUGUGUCUGCUGAGGGCAUGGAGAUGGAACUUGGAUGCCUCGGGCUCAGAUCAGGAGGUUGGAACAGGGUCUAAUGUGAAGGGCCAGAUCCUCUGGUUUUUCCAGGAGGCAUCGCCGGCUGAGCUGUCUCAUCUCUGGCUGCUCUGUGAAGAAGGCCCAGAAGAUUGUCGAGCUUCGCCUAUUUAACGGGUGGGAGAAUCUGGUGGCUGUUCUCGACGGAGGGAACGGCCUCUCCACUGACCUGGUGCAGGGCUAUUGUGUGGUCCUGAGGGAACAGGACGUGGCGCGCAGCCUCUUGACCAAGUGUGAGAACAUCACCAACAAGAUGAUGCAGGACGUGACUCAAGCGGUGGAGAGGGACAAGGGCUUCCAUAAACAGCCUGAGAUCUUCAACAGCAAGGUUUGGGGGAAGACCAUCCAGGCCAUCUCGUUCCUGUUUCGUUGUUAAAGCAAGGAACAACAAUUGUAGAGAAUCCACGUUACCAUGGAAACAGAGUCAACUGCACAAAUGCCCGGCUGUCCCGUCUUCAAUCAGCUGUUAGUUCGGUCUUGCUUCUCUGGUGUACUAUGGACAUUGUACGUCAUCGAGCGUUAAGGACUCUAUAGAGGACAUGACUGCCUCA